ACCCGGAGGAAAGGAAAUCAACCGAGACUGCGCGAGUAGCGGCGAGCGAAAGCGCAAGAGCCUAAACCCGUGCGCGUGUAAGCCUCCAGGCGUUGCCGCACGUGGGGUAGUGGGACCCUCCGUCCCGUCGCUGGAGCGGCGGGGUCGGGUCAGAAACCCUCGGUCCAGGGGAACCGGCUGGGAAGCCGGGCGAUACAGGGUGAGAGCCCCGUACCCGAAGGACCGCGGGCCCGAGAGAGGGAUCCCGAGUAAUGCCGGACACGUGAAACCCGGUAUGAAUCUGGGGGGACCACCCUCCAAGGCUAAGCACUCUCCUAUGACCGAUAGCGAACCAGUACCGUGAGGGAAAGGUGAAAAGCACCCCGAGAGGGGAGUGAAACAGUACCUGAAACCGUGUGCCUACAAGCAGUCGGAGCAGCCAUGCGCUGUGACGGCGUGCCUUUUGUAGAAUGAGCCAGCGAGUUGCGGUUGGCGGCGAGGUUAAGGCAAGAACCGAGCCGCAGUGAAAGCGAGCCUUUAAGAUGGCGAUCAGUCGCCAGCCGCAGACGCGAAGCCGGGUGAUCUAUCCAUGGGCAGGCUGAGGCAGAGGUAAGACUCUGUGGAGGGCCGAACCCACUUCGGUUGAAAACGGAGGGGAUGACCUGUGGAUAGGGGUGAAAGGCCAAUCAAACCCGGAGAUAUCUCGUUCUCCCCGAAAUAGCUUUAGGGCUAGCCUCGAUCGCUUACCGACGGUGGUAGAGCACUGGAUCCGUGCGGGGGCCUCACCGCCUACCAACCGAAACCAAACUCCGAAUGCCGUCGGUCCCGAGAUCGGGAGUCAGAACAUGUGGGCUAAGCCGUGUGUUCGAGAGGGAAACAGCCCAGACCGCCUGCUAAGGUCCCCAAAUCAACGCUGAGUGGCAAAGGAUGUGCGUUUGCCUAGACAACCAGGAUGUUGGCUUAGAAGCAGCCAUGCAUUUAAAGAGUGCGUAACAGCUCACUGGUCAAGUGGACAUGCGCCGACAAUACACGGGGCUAAGCGUUGUACCGAAGCAGCGGACUGUUUUAUCAGUGGUAGGGGAGCUUUCCAUGCCGGGGCGAAGCCGACGGGCGACCGUCGGUGGACUGCAUGGAAGUGAGAAUGCUGGCAUGAGUAACGAGAGAGGGGCGAGAAACCCCUCCGCCGUAAGCCUAAGGGUUCCUGGGCAAGGCUAAUCCCCCCAGGGUCAGUCGGGAGCUAAGGCGAGGCCGACAGGCGUAGCCGAUGCACAACAGGCGGACAUUCCUGUACCACCGCGGAGCGUUACUACGACGGGGUGACGGAGAAGGGUAGCCGGGCGGGGUUCUGGACGUCCCCGUGAAAGCGCGUAGGCCGCAGGGCAGGCAAAUCCGCCCUGCAGCGAGGCCGAGACGUUAGACGAAGCUUCAUGUGAAGCCGGCGAGCCCAUGCUUCCGAGAAAAACCUCUAAGGAGCGAGGCGGUGCCCGUACCAAAACCGACACAGGUAGGCGGGUAGAGCAUACCAAGGCGAUCGGGAGAACCAUGGUUAAGGAACUCGGCAUACUGACUCCGUAACUUCGGGAGAAGGAGUGCCCCCGCCUGUGAGGUCCCACGCGGACGGAGCGGGAGGGGGUCGCAGCGAAACGGCCCAAGCGACUGUUUACCAAAAACACAGGACUCUGCAAAGCCGCAAGGCGACGUAUAGGGUCUGACGCCUGCCCGGUGCUGGAAGGUUACGCGGAUGAGUUAGCGCAAGCGAAGCCCUGAAGCCAAGCCCCAGUAAACGGCGGCCGUAACUAUAACGGUCCUAAGGUAGCGAAAUUCCUUGUCGGGUAAGUUCCGACCUGCACGAAUGGCGUAACGACUUGGGCGCUGUCUCAACCAUGGACCCGGUGAAAUUGUAUUAUUCGUGAAGAUGCGAAUUACCUGCGGAAGGACGGAGAGACCCCGUGAACCUUUACUGCAGCUUGGCAUUGGCUGUUGGUGCGGUGCGUAGAGGAUAGGCAGGAGCCUGCGAACCGGGAACGCCAGUUCCCGGGGAGGCGCCCUUGGAAUACUGCCCUCACCGCAUCGGCAGCCUAACGCGCCGCCCUCAUCGGGGGCGCGGACCGUGCCAGGUGGGUAGUUUGACUGGGGCGGUCGCCUCCUAAACUGUAACGGAGGCGUGCGAAGGUUCGCUCAGGGCGGUUGGCAAUCGCCCGCAGAGCACAAGAGUACAAGCGAGCCUGACUGCGAGACCAACAAGUCGAGCAGAGACGAAAGUCGGUUCUAGUGAUCCGGCGGCCCAGCGUGGAAUGGCCGUCGCUCAACGGAUAAAAGGUACUCCGGGG
rnacentral:rRNA from 1 species